GACCGCCUGGGGAGUACGGCCGCAAGGUUAAAACUCAAAUGAAUUGACGGGGGCCCGCACAAGCGGUGGAGCAUGUGGUUUAAUUCGAUGCAACGCGAAGAACCUUACCUGGUCUUGACAUCCACAGAACUUUCCAGAGAUGGAUUGGUGCCUUCGGGAACUGUGAGACAGGUGCUGCAUGGCUGUCGUCAGCUCGUGUUGUGAAAUGUUGGGUUAAGUCCCGCAACGAGCGCAACCCUUAUCCUUUGUUGCCAGCGGUCCGGCCGGGAACUCAAAGGAGACUGCCAGUGAUAAACUGGAGGAAGGUGGGGAUGACGUCAAGUCAUCAUGGCCCUUACGACCAGGGCUACACACGUGCUACAAUGGCGCAUACAAAGAGAAGCGACCUCGCGAGAGCAAGCGGACCUCAUAAAGUGCGUCGUAGUCCGGAUUGGAGUCUGCAACUCGACUCCAUGAAGUCGGAAUCGCUAGUAAUCGUGGAUCAGAAUGCCACGGUGAAUACGUUCCCGGGCCUUGUACACACCGCCCGUCACACCAUGGGAGUGGGUUGCAAAAGAAGUAGGUAGCUUAACCUUCGGGAGGGCGCUUACCACUUUGUGAUUCAUGACUGGGGUGAAGUCGUAACAAGGUAACCGUAGGGGAACCUGCGGUUGGAUCACCUCCUUA
rnacentral:rRNA from 2 species